rnacentral:rRNA from 1 species
CCUACGGGAGGCAGCAGUAGGGAAUAUUGCUCAAUGGGGGAAACCCUGAAGCAGCAACGCCGCGUGGAGGAUGAAGGUUUUCGGAUUGUAAACUCCUUUUGUUAGAGAAGAUAAUGACGGUACCUAUCGAAUACUCACCGGCUCACUCCGUUCCAGCAGCGGCGGUACCACGGCGGGUGCAAGCGUUACUCGGAAUCCCUGGGCGUAAAGAGCGCGUAGGCGGGAUAGCAAGUCAGGUGUGAAAUCCUAUGGCUUAACCAUAGAACUGCAGUUGAAACUGUUAGUCUAGAGUAUGGGAGAGGUAGGUGGAAUUCUUGGUGUAGGGGUAAAAUCCGUAGAGAUCAAGAGGAAUACUCAUUGCGAAGGCGACCUGCUAGAACGUAACUGACGCUGAUGCGCGAAAGCGUGGGGAGCAAACAGGAUUAGAUACCCCUGUAGUC